UCCUCUCUCUCCCUCUCUCGCAUUCAACCUUCCUCCCCCCCUCUCUCUCUCGAUUGGCGUCCUCCCCCUGUGCCCGAUCAGCGCUCGCUUCCCCUUCUCUCCAUGGCUUCAUCCACCAACUCCUGCUCACCGCCAACGCGGAGAUCCUCUCUCUCUCUUUCCCUCCCUCCUCCCGCUCCCUCCCCAUCAUGGCUUCCCCCACUUCGCUGUAUCUCCUUCGCCUCAUGGUCUCUCAAUUUUAAAAAGCCCGUAUAUAUGGAUGGAGGAUUUGCCGCUUGUUUACGUGUGGGCUUCCCAGGUUCUUUGCUUCUAAGUAGGCUUUCUAAAUGGAGGUUGCGAAGAAAUGUUUCGAUCAAGAGUGGAUUUAAAGCAUCAAGAAGUGCUUGUUAGAUGGGGGGUGAUAAUCCAAAUUAGGUCCACCUACCGUGGUUGACAAUGGCUGAUGAGUCUGGGGACAAGUGUCAAGUUUUUCAUUAUCUCUACACUGAUUGGGUUGAGUGGAACAUUCCUAGGAAAACAGGGCGUGUCAUUCUCAUGCUGUUCAUAAGCGUGGCAUGGUCUUGUUGGAAAGAAAGAAUGUUAGACCGUUCCUCAACAAACACAAAUCCAUUUCCUCAAUCACAACCGAAGCAAUCCGGUCCUUUCAAGAAUGGUCUGUGCUCUGCAACUCUAUCGAAUGGCUGAAUUUGGUAAUGUCCGGGAAAAAAUCAGAAGAAACCGAUCCCGGCUUCAGUUACUUGACUCUGCAUCCUAACAUUAGAUGAUUCUGGGGAUUCUCUUGGAAAUUCUUAUGUUCAUUACCUAGACGUUCGCAACUCUCCGCGACUUCAUCUCCUUUUUGGGCUGUUUCAUGUCAUGUGGCUGAGGAGAUUAUGGGGGCGGCGCUCAUCUGACAAGGAAAAUGCUGAAGGUCUCUUCAUUGACAUCUUUCACCACCACCAGUCACCUGUACUACCGGGAAGAAAAAGACCGCCAGCCACCUGCCUCUUCUUGCCUUCAUAAAAGAUGUAGUCAUGGCCCUCUGCCUUAAGAUGGAUGAUGAAGCAGUUGUUCGUACGAGUUUUCUUUCAGUCCAUCAAUCUAUGAUAAAAAAGCAUGCAAGGCUGGAUCUGAUGCUGCACCUUCGCUUAAUAUAUCAAAGUACCUUUGAUCGUACUUACCCUACAAAAAUCAAAGGCAGAACCUUCCUUGCUUGGAUUGAAUGUGCAUUUAAUCUCAUCCCCUGUUAAUCUGGUUAUGACCUCCAGACUAGUUCAUUCUUCAUAAUGCUGUCUAUGAACUAGCAUUGUUCCUAAGCAAAAUGUGCCAUGAAUUUUACAGCCUCUUCAGCUAGAAGCUUGCAUGAGGCUUCUGAUAUCUCCUUACUUUGCUCAAAGAUCUCAUUACGUCCAUCCAAGCUGUGAUGACUUCCAGUUCUCCCUAUAGUUUUAAAACAGCACUUCCUUUCAUUCUUUUGGUAACUGCUAUCACUAUAAUAUGCGUUACUUCUUGGCUGAUGGGCUUGGAAACUAGCUUAUCAUUAUAAUCAUGUGAUGACCAAUCUACCACAGCAGUCAUCCUAAUCCUAUCCUGGAUGUUUUCUGUCUAUUGUACUCACGGAAGCUUUGAUAUCAAAUGCAGGGACACAAAGGGGACUUGGUCUGCUGGUUGGUUCUCUCCUCAGUGCGUGUGCUGGAGAGAGGUUCUGGAUUUGAUCAUGAAAGGUGACACUCCAGCAACAUUUCCUUGGUGAAACAGUAAAAAGAAAGUAGUAUUAAUAGAACAAUGUGGGCAUGGCCUUGUUCUCAUGGUCAAAUAAAUCUUUUUUUUAAUGGCGGUUUCCUGUUUAUCCAUUAUUCAAGAUUUUUCUUUUGAGAGAAUAUUUGAGGGAUACUUAGAUUGUCAAAUGAUCGCUUGGAUUUCCUAGUCAAAGGAACAUUUAUCUUCCAAUAUGUAUUUAAUUGCUGGCUUUGCUAUAAACCGGAGUCAAUUCAAUGACCUUAUAGAAGCACAUUGCUAGUAAACCAACUUGGCUUCAAUUAUUUGAACCAUCCAGAAGAUUCUGUAGCAGGGAACACUUUUUCAAAGGCAUGACUUUAGGACAUGCAUCUCUUUCACCAUGAAAGUGAUCCAAUGACUCUUCAUGAUGAGGAAGGUAUCUAUAAGUACAGCUUUUUCGCAUUUUAAAAAUAGUGAUUUUGCCGAUGAAUUUAAGAAACAAAUAAAUUUUGACUCUUGAAGAGGGGAGCAUGCUUUCAGGUGG